AAUACUAUCUGUAGGGUUCAUGAUAGUACUCCUAUUCCGACACGUCCUCGUCGUGCAGAGUGGUAACAUGUGCCUUCAUAUAUCCUAGCUUGGGUACACGGGCUAGAUCCAACCCCUUGGGCGGAUGGUGGCAUAUGGCGAACCAGG
rnacentral:ribozyme from 1 species